rnacentral:rRNA from 1 species
ACGAACGCUGGCGGCAGGCUUAACACAUGCAAGUCGAGCGCCCCGCAAGGGGAGCGGCAGACGGGUGAGUAACGCGUGGGAAUCUACCGAGCCCUACGGAAUAACGCAUGGAAACGUGUGCUAAUACCGUAUACGCCCUACGGGGGAAAGAUUUAUCGGGGUUUGAUGAGCCCGCGUUGGAUUAGCUAGUUGGUGGGGUAAAGGCCUACCAAGGCGACGAUCCAUAGCUGGUCUGAGAGGAUGAUCAGCCACAUUGGGACUGAGACACGGCCCAAACUCCUACGGGAGGCAGCAGUGGGGAAUAUUGGACAAUGGGCGCAAGCCUGAUCCAGCCAUGCCGCGUGAGUGAUGAAGGUCUUAGGAUUGUAAAGCUCUUUCACCGGAGAAGAUAAUGACGGUAUCCGGGGAAGAAGCCCCGGCUAACUUCGU